rnacentral:rRNA from 1 species
GAUGAACGCUGGCGGCGUGCUUAACACAUGCAAGUCGAACGGAAAGGCCUCUGCUUGCAGGGGUACUCGAGUGGCGAACGGGUGAGUAACACGUGGGUGAUCUGCCCUGCACUUCGGGAUAAGCCUGGGAAACUGGGUCUAAUACCGGAUAGGACAAUGGUUUGGAUGCUGUUGUGGAAAGUUUUUCGGUGUGGGAUGAGCUCGCGGCCUAUCAGCUUGUUGGUGGGGUAAUGGCCUACCAAGGCGUCGACGGGUAGCCGGCCUGAGAGGGUGUACGGCCACAUUGGGAACGAACGACGGCCCAGACUGCGACAGGGGGCAGCAGUGGGGAAUAUUUGACAAAGGGCGCAAGCCUGAGGGAAGGAGGCCGCGUGGGGGAAGACGGCCUUCGGGUUGUAAACUCCUUUCGCUAGGGACGAAGCGUUUUUGUGACGGUACCUGGAGAAGAAGCACCGGCUAACUACGUG